rnacentral:rRNA from 1 species
CCGGCGCACGGGUGAGUAACACGUAUCCAACCUGCCGUCUACUCUUGGACAGCCUUCUGAAAAGGAAGAUUAAUACAAGAUGGCAUCAUGAGUCCGCAUGUUCACAUGAUUAAAGGUAUUCCGGUAGACGAUGGGGAUGCGUUCCAUUAGAUAGUAGGCGGGGUAACGGCCCACCUAGUCUUCGAUGGAUAGGGGUUCUGAGAGGAAGGUCCCCCACAUUGGAACUGAGACACGGUCCAAACUCCUACGGGAGGCAGCAG